ACUGUAACACAACUCAUGUAAUAUACCUCAUCUCAUGUACCGGCUGCAAACUACAAUACGUUGGGUGCACCACCACUCCAUUAAAAGUCAGAAUUAGAAAGCACCUAUCUGAUAUUCCACAUUUCAAGACCCGUAAUACCUCAGCAGUAUCCAUGCACUGGGCACAGUGCCAUGUUGGAAGCACAGCAUCCUUGCAGAGGCUAUAGUUUGCUUCCCUGAGGAUAGUUUUACAAGCCAAGCAAUUCCCCAUGGAAAAGAAGUGUGCAAAGUCGUUCUCCCCCCAGAAAGAAACAUACCUACUCCACACUGCCAAGGUUGGGGGUACCUUUGCUUAAAAUUGUUCGAUGAAUAAACAGCCUUAAAACAUGAUUAGGGAUUAUAUGGCAAGUAAGAAUCUUUCCCAGAAGGAAAAGAUACCCAUCUAUAGACAGCUACUUUGGGGUUUCUGACCCUCGUCAGUACAGAGCAGGGUGCUGCAUGGCUAACAGAGAAGCUUUUAAUGGUAUACCGUCUUGAAGAAGCGUUGUGAAAGCGUGAAACAGUCUGUCCCAGUCACGUCCCCCGCCUCCACCACUGCACCUGUGUAUGACUAAGACCAGCACCUGGCCAAAACGCGUCACAUCCUGUCUUAUACCUGUGAUCCAUGUAACUACCGUACGUGUGAAUAAAGAAGGCUAUUAGAUCUGAGAACGAGCUGGAAUCCCUCUCUUUUUCUGCAUUGUAUACUGGGAAUAGUCCGUUCCCUUCCAUGCUCAGUUCUGUGGGCUUCGGGGUGAGCUGAUUCCACAUAUCUACUUUCGUACUGCACCUGUUCGUCACGACUGGAAUGCUUCAAUAAAGAUCCUGUCCGGU